rnacentral:rRNA from 1 species
UACGUAGGGUGCAAGCGUUGUCCGGAAUCAUUGGGCGUAAAGAGCGUGUAGGCGGCCCGAUAAGUCCGCUGUGAAAGUCCAGGGCUCAACCCUGGGAUGCCGGUGGAUACUGUCGGGCUCGAAUCUGGAAGAGGUGAGUGGAAUUCCUGGUGUAGCGGUGAAAUGCGCAGAUAUCAGGAGGAACACCAAUGGCGAAGGCAGCUCACUGGGACGGUACUGACACUGAGACGCGAAAGCGUGGGGAGCGAACAGG